CUCCGACCCGACAAUAUUCACCGAAGGGCAUGGUCGCGAAUCACCGAACCCUGAAGUGGACCUAUCAGGCACCGUUGGCUGGUUCACGACAUUGACUCCGAUUUACGCUUACGCUGAAGACAGCGAUAGUUUGAUAGAUGUCAUACGGAAAAUAAAAGAUGUACGUAGGCGAAUCCCCGGGAAUGGCCAGCCAUAUUUCGCCUCACGAUUCUUCAAUGAUUCGGCUAGGGCAGAAUUCCGAAAGCAUGAGAAGAUGGAGAUCGUUGUGAACUUUAUCGGAAGCACCAGUCACAUAAGACAGCCUGGAUCGUCAUUUCGCAUG
rnacentral:sRNA from 2 species